GCCAGGGUAGCUCAGCUGGCAGAGCAACUGUUUUGUAAACAGUAGGCCGUGGGUUCAAAUCCCACCCCUGGCU
rnacentral:tRNA from 1 species